rnacentral:lncRNA from 10 species
GGAAUAGCAACAUUAUAAAAGAGCUGGAGGGAACUAGGAAAAGACAGAUCACACAUUUAAAAAUGAAAGGUUCACUUGCAGGAGCUCUAGCCCCUGCAGCAGCCCAAUCGGUUGAAUGGUCCACGAAGACAUCGCCUAGCAUCAGCAUCCAGCCAGCAUCACCAUGAUCAGGAUGAUUCUCAGCAACGUCUUCCUCUCCGGCUGCCCUGGGAGUGGCUAAAGUUGAAGCAGCAGGAAACAGAGGAAUCUUGAAGAACGUCAUCUCUGUGGUCCUGUUAAAUGUGUCGCUGACACACGACUGUUUUUGUGAUGCUUCCUUUUCAAAGAAUUUACUCCGAACAACAUGCAGGUUCACUGUAUCUGCAUUUACAGAGACACUGACAGACUUAGACAAUUCAACAAACUGACAGGAUCAAC